UCCUACGGGAGGCAGCAGUAGGGAAUCUUCGGCAAUGGACGAAAGUCUGACCGAGCAACGCCGCGUGAGUGAAGAAGGUUUUCGGAUCGUAAAACUCUGUUGUUAGAGAAGAACGUUGUGUAGAGUGGAAAAUUACACAAGUGACGGUAUCUAACCAGAAAGGGACGGCUAACUACGUGCCAGCAGCCGCGGUAAUACGUAGGUCCCGAGCGUUGUCCGGAUUUAUUGGGCGUAAAGCGAGCGCAGGUGGUUUAAUAAGUCUGAUGUAAAAGGCAGUGGCUCAACCAUUGUGUGCAUUGGAAACUGUUAGACUUGAGUGCAGUAGAGGAAAGUGGAAUUCCAUGUGUAGCGGUGAAAUGCGUAGAGAUAUGGAGGAACACCAGUGGCGAAGGCGACUUUCUGGUCUGUAACUGACACUGAGGCGCGAAAGCGUGGGGAGCAAACAGGAUUAGAUACCCUGGUAGUCCACGCCGUAAACGAUGAGUGCUAAGUGUUAGAGGGUUUCCGCCCUUUAGUGCUGAAGUUAACGCAUUAAGCACUCCGCCUGGGGAGUACGGCCGCAAGGCUGAAACUCAAAGGAAUUGACGGA
rnacentral:rRNA from 1 species